UCCCUUGCUGCCGUUUCAGUCAACCCCCGUGGGGUCCCUUCAGACCGGACAGGAGGUCAUCGUUUCUCCAAACAGGGAAAGGCACAUUACUACAAAUGCCCGGUCAAACCCCCAGAAGAAUGCGUGGUUGGACCAAAGCAACCCACGGCAGGCGGGCAAUACGCUGCUCGCCGAGAAGCUGGUACAUCAGGGAGGCGGGGCUGGUGGUGUGCCCCAGGGCUCGGUUCAGGUCGUCUCCUCUACCAACGGUGACCUGGCGAACGAUGACCCCACCACAGGGCACUCCAACACACCCAUCGCAUUACCUGUCGAAGUGGAAGUCGUCUCAGAUACCAAGUG